rnacentral:rRNA from 1 species
GACGAACGCUGGCGGCGUGCUUAACACAUGCAAGUCGAACGAUGAAGCUGGAGCUUGCUCUAGCGGGUUAGUGGCGAACGGGUGAGUAACACGUGAGCAAUCUGCCCUUGGCUCUGGGAUAACUGCGGGAAACUGUAGCUAAUACCGGAUACUUUCACCGGGGGGCAUCCUCUGGUGAUGAAAGAAUUUCGGUCAAGGAUGAGCUCGCGGCCUAUCAGCUUGUUGGUGAGGUAACGGCUCACCAAGGCGACGACGGGUAACCGGCCUGAGAGGGGGACCGGUCAGACUGGGACGGAGACACGGCCCAGACUCCUACGGGAGGCAGCAGUGGGGAAUAUUGCACAAUGGGCGCAAGCCUGAUGCAGCAACGCCGCGUGAGGGAUGAAGGCCUUCGGGUUGUAAGCCUCUUUUAGCAGGGAAGAAGCGAAAGUGACGGUACCUGCAGAAAAAGCACCGGCUAACUACGUGCCAGCAGCCGCCGUAA